CAUGUUACUGUAAGUCCUAGGUUUCGGUUUCAAUAUUGUUAUAAAAAAUUAUUGUUUUUGCUUCAUGAUUCACUACUUCAGAUAUGAAAUAUCUCUCUUUUGAGCACCUGAACAUUGCGUUAUCUGAGGCAAGCAUGUUUGCUGCAGUUUAUAUUACUAUGGAAACUUAUAUAGUUCCUUUUAAUGUAACGACCUCUUUUAUCAGAGCCAUUAACAUAACCGGUUGUAGCAGUAAAGAUCAAUACAGUAUAAGAGAUGAAAGAUUAGAUAGUUAAUGUAAAUGACUAGGAUCCUGAUGAAUUACUCCUAUAGUAUUUAACGACAAUAAGACAAGUAUAUAUUGAAAUAUAGGACACUAAUAACGUAAAUAUUUGCUUCCUUUUCUACUUUUCAGAGGAAGACCAGUUUGAGAUAAUUCAACCUUCCCAAUUGCUUGAAGUUUGACUUUCAAUGGUCAAGCUUGGCAUUUUGAUCAAAGCCAUUUAAAGACAAUUUCCGAAACUUUAAUGGUGAAAUGGUGAAAAUGAUAAAAUCUAUGAGAAAUACUUAUAACUUUGAAAUUUAUCAAAUUGUAUAAAAUUUGUCUAUAAAUAUAAAAAAUUAUUGUUUUUGCUUCAUGAUUCACUACUUCAGAUAUGAAAUAUCUCUCUUUUGAGCACCUGAACAUUGCGUUAUCUGAGGCAAGCAUGUUUGCUGCAGUUUAUAUUACUAUGGAAACUUAUAUAGUUCCUUUUAAUGUAACGACCUCUUUUAUCAGAGCCAUUAACAUAACCGGUUGUAGCAGUAAAGAUCAAUACAGUAUAAGAGAUGAAAGAUUAGAUAGUUAAUGUAAAUGACUAGGAUCCUGAUGAAUUACUCCUAUAGUAUUUAACGACAAUAAGACAAGUAUAUAUUGAAAU
rnacentral:lncRNA from 1 species